rnacentral:lncRNA from 1 species
AUAGCCCAUAGUGUUUGGUUGGUAGAUAUGACACUAUGUCCCCCAGAGGGAAAGUAGAAGUUUCUAAUCUAAUCUCAUUGCUCUCAGAUACACUUGGUGACCUUUACUGAAGCUAUGUGGUUUCAUAACAGUAUUGUACAUCAUGAUUGCUGAGGAAAUGUUACAUUUAUGCCUUAACUAUUUGUCUCCACCCUCCUGUAUCCUAUUGACUGUUCCAUAUUCUUCUGGCUAUCAGUUGACUCUGAAUGAACUUACCAUCCAUCUGUCCCAGCACUUCUCUCAAGGGGUGAACGUAGAGGACUCCCUGCACCCCUGUGUAGACACCCCCUGUGCCAACAGGGGCAUCUGCCGCCCCAAACAGGCCUUGUAUUAGUGUGACUAUUAGGGCUUGCAAGUUAAGCAUUUCAUUGUACUUGUGCAUGACAAAUACAACUUGAACUUGACUGCCCCCUGGGGUACACUGACAAGCACUGCCUGCAAGGUGAGACUUCUCACGCUUAUACUUUAUAAUGCAUGAGUAUCAAAGGAGUCUGGUGGGAGGAGCUAUAACAGGACAGGCUAAUUAUAAUGGCUGGAAUGGAAUUAAUCGAAUGGAUCAAUAAUGUGGUUUCCAUAUAUUUCAUGUUUGAUACCGUUCCAUUUAUUCCAUUGCAGCCAUUACAAUGAGUUCGUCCUCCUAUAGCUUAUUCCACCAGCCUCCACUGGUGUGUAUGCUGCAUGCACUCAUCUCUAGUCUACCCACCUCUCGCCCUCUCUCUCUCUCUCUCUCCCGCUCUCUCCUCCCUCUCUUCUUGGCCCAUGGUAUUGCUGAGCAGAAUGUGAGACUUACUGCAUGAACUGUAAAUCUCACUGUGUGUCAUGUUGUUCAGAUGCAUAAUUCUACGAUAUCAUAUUAUAAGAAUGAGCAGGCAUGAAUUGAUAACAGCAUGUGAAAGCAUGUGGCAUUUACUGGUAAUUGGAAGCAUUCUAUUGAUUGUUUUCUGUUGCCUAGUUGCCUACAACUGAAUGAAUCUGUCCAUUGUAAAAGUUGUAGUGUCGUCUAGUGGACAUUGUAGGUAAGGGCAACUUCCCCUUUAUAUCCUCUUGUGACAUAGACCACUGAGAUUGCAGUUUAUUGGAUGAAGGUGACUCAAUUACAACAAGGACAUUUUUAAGAGGUAUGCCCCUUCGAUUUUCCUAUUUCAUUAUGAAUCAACAAGCCUUAUCAGUAGACCCAAAUAAGUCUUAUCUCCUCUACUAUCUCUGUAUCAGGGUGUUUUAAAAUUUUUUAUUUAACCUUUAUUUAACUACGCAAGUUAGUUAAAAACAAAUUCUUAUUUAUAGACUCAUUUAUAGGGGAGACUCAUUAACAGGUGGGACUCAUUUAUAGGGGAGACUCAUUAAUAGGUGGGACUCAUUUAUAGGGGAGACUCAUUAACAGGUGGGACUCAUUUAUAGGGAGACUCAUUAACAGGUCAGACCAUUAGUCUGUUAAUUAUUACGCUAAUAUUUACUGUAUGUCAUUGAUGGAACCCAAACAAUUAAGAUGGAUGGUUAACUUGCAAAUAUUGUAUUAUUUCUGGUGUUUUACUGUAAAGAAUGUCCAUUGAUUUGUUAUAUGGAAUUCCCUUAUUAAUAGAAGAGUGAGAUAUGGAACCCCUCUAGAAUGUCUCUGUGCCUGAUACUGAGGUGGGGUGUGGGGGUUUGAGCCAACAGAGACUGUACUUUCUCAUAAAGCUGGGAUCUUUUAAUGUAGACUGUACUAUAUUGACUCUGUUUUACAAAUCUUUUAUUGAGAGUAUUUUAACUUUUUGUAUUGUUUGUUGGUUUGGCAAUGCCACUGUCUGCCAGAGAAAAAUGUUGAGAAGGAUUAUUACCACAGGAAGUAAGGUACUUGGAGUCAAACAGUCGGGCCUGGAUGAGAUCUUUAAGGUCAGGGCCCUCCGUAAGGCUCACAAAAUCAUUUUAGACCCAAGCCACCCCCUGUACCCGGACAUUGAACUACUCCCCUCUGGGCGCAGGUAUAGGGCACCCCUCAGCAGGAAAAACAGAACUAGACAAUAAUUUGUGCCAGGUGUGAUAUCCCUCCUAAGUAGCUCGGGCUAAUGUUCCUAUCGACUCCGUAAGGCCAGCAGGCUAGUCUUUAAAAAAAAAAGGUUUUAUUUCUUUAUUUAUUAUAAUUAUUAUUAUAUAUUUUUUUAUUGGUAUGUAACUGUUAUGAAAGUUGUAUUGUCAAUUUUGUUUUGUAUUUAAACGCCACUUUAAAUGUGUACAUGACACUGCAACAAUAAUUUCCCCAUGGGGACAAUAAAGUCAGUAAGUAAGGAAGUAAGUACUGUAACAUACUGCUAC